rnacentral:lncRNA from 1 species
GCUCCUUGCUCCUUCUCAGGGUUAACUCCUGUCCUCUUCCCUCUAAAAGGAACUUUCUCUACAAGAGAAUCAGUUUAUCUCACUUUCCAGUGAGACUCUUCCCUGAGUAAUUCAAUCAGAGGACAUUCAGCUGCGUAUAACCCAGCUCUGUGGUGUGCUGUAUGAGUCAAUGCUGCUCCUGAAUGUCUCAAAGAUGCAUGCAUAUCUUCUUGCCAUUCCCAGGACACAAGUACCGUGGAGAGGCUUAGUAAUUUAUUUUUUUUCCAGAAAUCUCUUCUAAAUAGUCUGUCCACCUCAAGCAUGCUGCUCCACACUGCACUUAUGCAGUCCUGGGAGAGCAGCAGAGCAAGCGACAUCACUGCCAAGCUCAUCAGUGCUGCCAGCUUGUGCCAAGACUUCUUUCAUCUACCUGCCUGCUGUAGGAAACUCAGCAACAUCCUGCACAGACUUCCCAUUGCAGAAGAGCAAAGACUAACACUUCCUUUGCGUGACAUUCACAGAACAGUUUAUAAGAGUAGAGGAUUUGAAAAAUACUUUAUAAAAGCUCCAAGCAGUCAUUUGGCUCAUUGGCAAAUCUGUCUGACUUCUGGAACCCACAUUUCAG